UACGUAGGGUGCGAGCGUUAAUCGGAAUUACUGGGCGUAAAGCGUGCGCAGGCGGUCUCAAAAGCCAGAUGUGAAAUCCCCGGGCUCAACCUGGGAACUGCGUUUGGAACUCUGAGACUGGAGUACGGGAGAGGGAGAUGGAAUUCCACGUGUAGCAGUGAAAUGCGUAGAGAUGUGGAGGAACACCGAUGGCGAAGGCAGUCUCCUGGCCUGAUACUGACGCUCAUGCACGAAAGCGUGGGGAG
rnacentral:rRNA from 1 species